GAAAAUCAGGACUGUGGUUCUGAUGAACAGAAAGGGCUGUUUUGAAGCGUGGAAUUCUCAUCCCAGAUAAUUAUUGCUCAGGAUGGCACCACCCUGGCUCCCUGCCCUUUGCAAAUUCUUUGUAAAGGGCACAGGAGGAACGGCUUGUCUCUGACCCAUGGAAGACUCAUCUGGAAGAUACUAUGCAAGGCUGAGGUCUGGAAUAAUCUGAAGUCUGUUCACUUGCAUGCCUGGUGAGUGAUAAUGGCUAUCAGUUGUCAGCCAGAUCACCCAUGAAUGGGCUCUCGUUGUUGCCUGGGAUUCCUUCAAAUAUGUACCCUCCUCUGUCCUGGCACUAUUUCCUGACUCCAUGAAGACAGUUAUGGAUGGUGGGUCUGGCCGCUGCACUCCCUGGACUGAAAUAGCCAGAAUGAUGAGAAAAUUGAGUUGAUGCAAUUGAGUGUUAACAAAAACAUGGAGAAGAAAAAAUUAUCUGUUUCUUUGAAAGCCACAUCCCAUGAACAUUCUCUUGGACGAUACAAAUCUACAUAGAAAAAUCUGUUCUUUACCAAUAAUUUCAAAAGUGCAUGAGGAUGCUCAUGCAGUAUUGCUUGUAAUAGUAAACACUGAAAAUAAAUUAAAAUGGCCAUCAAUGGGGGAAUGUCAAUGUGGUAUAUUCAUAUCUAAAGUGCUAUUGUAGCCUCAAAAUAACAUAUAUCUACUUUCAUGUAAAUAUGCCUGUGUUUUAUUGAUACAUUAUAAAAAUAAUUUGCAAAACAUUAUGAGUAGAACAGAAUCCUAUUUUGUUUUUGAAAGCAGAUUUAAGCUUCGCCAUUCCAUAUAAAAUGUCUAAAAAUAACAAUGUAUUUUCCUUUUAAAAUUCACUUCUAGCAUGUAAAUCAAGAAGAAUCCAGACAGACCAGAACCUAUGAGAAAUUCUUGAAAGAUUUAAAAGGAAAUGAAAUUAGAAAAUACAAGUUUCCAAAAUAUGGAGUUUGCCAAACACACUUUUCUGCUACAGAA